rnacentral:rRNA from 1 species
UUUAGGAGGGGCGAAGCUCCUCUUAUUGUGAGGGCGAGUUAUAUAACACCAUAGGACUGGCCGUCCCAUAUGAAAAGAUUAUAUUAGAAUUGAAUGAAGCUUUGUUUAUAUAUUGAUAAUGACAGUAUAUAUAUCGUGUCUUGACUAAUUGCGUGCCAGCAGUCGCGGUAAUACGUAAGAGACUAGUGUUAUUCAUCUUAAUUAGGUUUAAAGGGUACCCAGACGGUCAAUAUAGCUUAUAAAAUGUUAGUACUUGACUAGAGUUUUAUGUAAGAGGGCAGUACUUGAGGAGGAGAGAUGAAAUUUCGUGAUACCAAAGGGACUCUGUAAAGGCGAAGGCAGCCCUCUAUGUAAAAACUGACGUUGAAGGACGAAGGCACAGAGAACAAACAGGAUUAGAUACCCAAGUAGUCUUUGCAGUAAAUGAUGAAUGCCAUAGGUUAGAUGGGUGGGCUCGUCUAGUUGAGUUAGUUUAGCAAACUAAUGAUCUAGACGAGCCCACNGUAUAUUUGGUCUAUAAAUGAAAGUGUAAGCAUUUCACCUCAAGAGUAAUGUGGCAA